rnacentral:rRNA from 1 species
UACGUAGGGGGCAAGCGUUUGUCCGGAUUUAUUGGGCGUAAAGAGCGUGUAGGCGGCUAUACAGGUCCGCUGUGAAAACCCGAGGCUCAACCUCGGGACGUCGGCGGAAACCAUCUGGCUAGAGUCCGGAAGAGGAGAGUGGAAUUCCCGGUGUAGCGGUGAAAUGCGCAGAUAUCGGGAAGAACACCCGUGGCGAAGGCGGCUCUCUGGGACGGUACUGACGCUGAGACGCGAAAGCGUGGGGAGCGAACAGG